AUUGAACGCUGGCGGCAGGCCUAACACAUGCAAGUCGAACGAGUGGCGGACGGGUGAGUAAUGUCUGGGAAACUGCCUGAUGGAGGGGGAUAACUACUGGAAACGGUAGCUCAUACCGCAUACCAUCAGAUGUGCCCAGAUGGGAUUAGCUUGUGGGUGGGGUAAAGGCUCACCACGGCGACGAUCCCUAGCUGGGCUGAGAGGAUGACCAGCCAGACUGGAACUGAGACACGGUCCAGAGUCCUACGGGAGGCAGAAGGGGGGAAUAUUGGACAAUGGGCGCAAGCCUGAUGCAGCGAGGCCGCGUGUAGGAAGAAGGCCUUCGGGUUGUAAAGUACUUUCAGCGGGGAGGCGUUACCCGCAGAAGAAGCACUGGCUAACUCCGUGCCAGCCGCCGCGGUAAUUC
rnacentral:rRNA from 1 species